GACGAACGCUGGCGGCGUGCUUAACACAUGCAAGUCGAACGGAAAGGCCCUGCUUUUGUGGGGUGCUCGUGUGGCGAACGGGUGAGUAACACGUGAGUAACCUGCCCUUGACUUUGGGAUAACUUCAGGAAACUGGGGCUAUUACCGGAUAGGAGCUCCUGCUGCAUGGUGUGGGUUGGAAAGUUUCGGCGGUUGGGGAUGGACUCGCGGCUUAUCAGCUUGUUGGUGAGGUAGUGGCUUACCAAGGCUUUGAAGGGUAGCCGGCCUGAGAGGGGGACCGGGCACAUUGGGACUGAGAGACGGCCCAGACUCCUACGGGAGGCAGCAGUGGGGAACAUUGCACAAUGGGCGGAAGCCUGAUGCAGAAACGCCGCGUGCGGGAUGACGGCCUUCGGGUUGUAAACCGCUUUCGCCGGUGACGAAGCGUGAGUGACGGUAAUGGGUAAAGAAGCACCGGCUAACUACGUG
rnacentral:rRNA from 1 species